rnacentral:piRNA from 1 species
UGCAGUUUCCACGUCCUGAUGAUGUC